CCCCAAGCAGAGGCACCUCCCCACGCAGCACCGCGACCCAGCUGUUCCGCCAUUCUCUACCAGCCCACAUCCUCAAGCACCCGUUUCCUCCUCCAGGGAGCUCCUUCUCCCGGCAGCACCUUCUCCUCCACUAGCCUCCUCUACGCACUUGGACUAUGCAUCUAAGGAACAAUGGUCUUAAUUCCCUACCACCGUCCUUAUUCAAGAAGUGCUGGCGGCUUACUACACUUGAUCUCCAUGGCACUAGAAUUACAAACGACAUUCUUCGACAGCAUGCCUCCUAUUCAUCCUCUGCACCAAGCAGCGACGUGUCGACUAAGUCAUCUUCCCUGGAUAGCGCCGCCCUCAAGUAUUGUCGCCUCAACACUACUUCCUCGCCUGAGCAGUUCUUCCUCCGCUUCAUCACCCGAGCAGCACCGCCUCCUCUACUUCUCAACCAAUGGAGUUUGUUUGUGUCUCGUGAAGUCUGAUUUACUCAGCAAGGAUUAUGAUGUAUAAUGUUUAUCAGGACCAUGGUAGUCCAUUGGCAAAAGCUACCAUUCUAUGAGUAUAUUUGAAGUGCUGGUAUUUGCUUCUCAAGAUGGCUUUGGUAACACUGUGAAAUAUAUCUUUGACUUGCGGAUCUCCAGUGACUGAAUAUACUUCAAACUUUGGAAGAUGCAUAAAAACUGAAGGUCCGUCUAGGUUGUUAUCCAUGAUUUGAGAAUUUUGGUACUAGUCCUUGCUUCACUGGUUGUAUGUGGUAUUCUCUUUGCUGGACUACUAUUGGGCAUGGGGCUAUCAGCUGUGGCUUUUUAUGUUAUCCUUCCAGAGUUGUACCAAGCCCUACCACUUCUUCGGCCACCAAUGUUGUUUGUCCACCCGCCAUCCCUGUCCAGCAUCUAUCUCGCGCUUACCGGUGCACAACUUCCAGGGAGUCCGGGGUGACAAGAUUGAUGGCAUUGGCUCCAACGUCAUAGCGUCCUGCCGCCUCAGAUGCUGGUUGACCUUAGCGGCUUAGCCCAAUAUGGUUAACUAAAUCAACAACAAGCAGAGCUGGAAGUCGUUUUCGUUGCAACUGUCGAUGUUGGGUCCUAGCCAGAAGAAUCUUCAGUGAAACAGAUUGCAGGCCCAGAAAAAAAAUCAAAGUGGCAGCCCACCGCCUGCAGGACUUUAAUUUUCAAAGAAUAAAUGCAUGGAUCACAUGUAAGCUACUGACUGUCGGUGCAAUUGUCAGAAGGCAGGCUUCAAUCUUAUGCCAGCAGGAAGAGUGACUUGGAGGGGUGGUGCCGGCAGGAAAAGGGUGACGAGCAGGAAGGGGAAGGAGAGCUGUAGCAACAUCGCUUCCAUUUUACUCCCUCCGUUCCGAUUUAUACCUCGUUUAAGCAAUCUUAGUUCAAUUUAUUUCAUGUUACAGACUUUCUUCACUUUCCCAAAUUACCCUCCCACUCGCACGACUCCACCGACCGUAGCAGUCGCUCUUUCCUCACCCACUCGCUCUCUCCCAGCCCACUCGCUCUCUUCCUCUUCCACUGCGCUUCCCGUCCCUGUCUCUUGCUGACGCCUACGUGCUCCUCGCUCUUGCCAGCGCCACAGCUGGUCGCAGCCACAGCAUAGUGGGCGAGAUGAAAGGUCUCUUUUUUUGUGGCUGCACAUAUCCGUGGGCGGCGGUGAUGGAUCUGUUAGCGUCCGCGACGGCGGUGACGGUGGAGAAAGAAGGCGCGAAGGCAGCGAAGGGGGAGCACGGUGGUGGUGUACUCGCACGGUGAAGCUAAGAUGCCUUCACCUCCGUCUUCUCGCGGAUCGCGUGCCGCUGUACGUCUCGCGCGCACCCGCCCGCCCGGGUUGACCCCUCUCAGGUUUCUACUAGCCUGGGAGAUCUGCCGGCAAGGAACCUGGGACUCCAGCUGCUGCUUGUGGCGGCGAGGAGAAGCAGCAACGGCCAGGAGAUCUCCCAGGUUCUGCUAGCCUGGGUGGCAGGAACCUGGGGCCCCGGCUGCUGCUUGUGGUGGCUAGGAGAAGCAGCCACGGCGAAACCUGGGAGAUCUGCUGGGUGAGGAUCUGCAGGGCGAGAUGGGCGAGCUCUUGGCCGGCAAUGAGCAAGCCGCAGAGAUUCAGAUUGUUUCCUCUGUUUCUAUUAUUUCCCUGUAACGAUUCGCUUCGCUCACUUCCUGUAACGAGUCGCUUCUUUCGCUCCCUUGACCUGGGAGGGGCAGACAGGUCAUUUAGGCGAUUUUUGGUGGUUGUCGGAAAACUCUUUAACGCCAUAUACUAUUUCGGAACGGAGGGAGUAGUUCUGAAUGUAUAUUUGCAAUUCUGUUUUUGUUGGACA